ACUCCUACGGGAGGCAGCAGUAGGGAAUCUUCCACAAUGGGCGAAAGCCUGAUGGAGCAAUGCCGCGUGAGUGAAGAAGGUUUUCGGAUCGUAAAACUCUGUUGUUGAAGAAGAACAUGCGUGAGAGUAACUGUUCACGUACUGACGGUAUUCAACCAGAAAGCCACGGCUAACUACGUGCCAGCAGCCGCGGUAAUACGUAGGUGGCAAGCGUUGUCCGGAUUUAUUGGGGCGUAAAGAGAAUGUAGGCGGUUUUAUUAAGUUUGAAGUGAAAGCCCUCGGCUCAACCGAGGAAGUGCUUCGAAAACUGGUAAACUUGAGUGCAGAAGAGGAAAGUGGAACUCCAUGUGUAGCGGUGGAAUGCGUAGAUAUAUGGAAGAACACCAGUGGCGAAGGCGGCUUUCUGGUCUGUAACUGACGCUGAGAUUCGAAAGCAUGGGUAGCAAACAGGAUUAGAUACCCUGGUAGGAUACCG
rnacentral:rRNA from 1 species